GUUCAGCUGUGACCUUGUGUACGUUGUGCUUUCAGGCUUUCUCACAAGCAGAAAUGUAAGGGACACAAAACAAUGUGCCAAAGUACAGAGCUGCUGGGGAAUAAGCACUAGAAUACAGUGAAUCUAUAAGACACGAUGAACCUCUGGGCUGUUAUAGGAUCCUGAGGGCUGAAAUUAAAAAAAAAAAAACUACAAACAAGAAGAGGAGUAACAACGGCUACAAACAAGAAGAGGUGUAAAAGCAGCUACAAACAAAAAGAGGAAUAACAGCGCUACAAACAUGAAGCGGAGUAACAGCGGCUACAAACAAGUGGAGGCUUAACAGUGACUAUAAAUAAGAAGAGGAGUAACAGUGACUAAAAACAAAAGAGGAGUAACAGCAGCUACAAACAAGAAGAGGAGUAACAGCUCUACAAUCAAGAAGCGGUGUGACAGUGGCUACAAACAAGAAGAGGAGAAACAUUGCUACAAACAAGAAGAGAAGUAAUCCAUGAAAAAUUGUCUCCCUUUAUAUUUUAGAUUCUUGUUCCCCAAUUAAGGGCUAGAUUAUGAGUGAAGCAUUAUUUUGCCCUCCCAUUCAGGUAUAAAUUUUGCUAGAUGUAGGCUUUUUGCACACGUCGGGUAGAGAACGUAUUACAAGUUGAAAGUAAAAAGUUUGUGCCCGAGCAUAACCCGAUGAGUCCAUGGAGAAUGCAGAAGAAACAACCUAACAGCUAUCACGCAUGUGCUAACCGAACAGGAGUUAUGAAUAUUAACUGGAUUA